AUUGAACGCUGGCGGCAGGCCUAACACAUGCAAGUCGAGCGGAGCGGCGGACGGGUGAGUAAUGCCUAGGAAUCUGCCUGGUAGUGGGGGAUAACGUCCGAAAAGGGGCGCUAAUCCCGCAUACUUUCAGUGGAGCUUAGGGGGGAUUAGCUAGUGGGUGGGGUAAAGGCCUACCAAGGCGACGAUCCGUACCUGGCCUGAGAGGAUGACCAGUCACACUGGAACUGAGACACGGUCCAGACUCCUACGGGAGGCAGCAGUGGGGAAUAUUGGACAAUGGGCGAAAGCCUGAUCCAGCCAUGCCGCGUGUGUGAAGAAGGUCUUCGGUUUGUAAAGCACUUUAAGUUGGGAGGCGUUACCAACAGAAUAAGCACCGGCUAACUUCGUGCCAGCAGCCGCGGUAAUUC
rnacentral:rRNA from 1 species